UACGAAGGGUGCAAACGUUGCUCGGAAUUAUUGGGCGUAAAGCGCACGUAGGCGGCUCCGCAAGUCCCAUGUGAAAGCCCACGGCUUAACCGUGGAAGUGCAUGGGAAACUGCAGAGCUUGAGUACUAAAAGAGGAUCGCGGAAUUCCCGGUGUAGAGGUGAAAUUCGUAGAUAUCGGGAGGAACACCAGUGGCGAAGGCGGCGAUCUGGGUAGAUACUGACGCUGAGGUGCGAAAGCGUGGGGAGCAAACAGG
rnacentral:rRNA from 1 species